GAUGAAGGAGGGUAUGCCGAUAGGUUGAUAUAGUUCGGGGCGAUUCUCCGCAGCGCAGCCGCUCGAGGGCGCUCCUCGUCGAGCUCCCACAACCCUAAACUCAUGGAUACCACUUAGGGGAAUUGAGGGUUUUCCGCCGGGGCUUUCCCGCUCUCACCUCACGCGGAGGGAGUGCUAAAAAAGCCCCGAUGCCUCGGCUAUGCUGCGGGAUCGUGUUCAACAUUGUCUCGUGGGCUGGUGAAAGGAAACUGGGGUUAGGGAGGCAAGCGGGGUCGACCGCGCGGUUCGCCGCCCUGUUCGACGAGUCCAUUGUCUCCCGUGGAUUGCCCGAACAUAUUCUUCCGGUUCCUGCCCUCCUUCGACCACCUUUUA
rnacentral:telomerase_RNA from 1 species